GACGAACGCUGGCGGCGUGCCUAACACAUGCAAGUCGAGCGGGGAUAUACGGAAGGUUUACCGGAAGUAUAUCCUAGCGGCGGACGGGUGAGUAACGCGUGGGUAACCUACCUCAUACAGGGGGAUAACACAGGGAAACCUGUGCUAAUACCGCAUAACAUAACGGGGCGGCAUCGUCCUGUUAUCAAAGGAGAAAUCCGGUAUGAGAUGGGCCCGCGUCCGAUUAGCUAGUUGGUGAGGUAACGGCUCACCAAGGCGACGAUCGGUAGCCGAACUGAGAGGUUGGUCGGCCACAUUGGGACUGAGACACGGCCCAGACUCCUACGGGAGGCAGCAGUGGGGAAUAUUGCGCAAUGGGGGAAACCCUGACGCAGCAACGCCGCGUGAAGGAAGAAGGCCUUCGGUCGGUAAGACUCGAUAGUGUGGGAAGAAUAGAUGACGGUACCACACGAAAGCCCGGCGUAACUACGUGC
rnacentral:rRNA from 1 species